CGACCUCACAUCAGGCGAGACAACCCGCUGAAUUUAAGCAUAUCACUAAGCGGAGGAAAAGAAACCAACAGGGAUUCCCUUAGUAGCGGCGAGCGAAACGGGACCUAGCUCAGCACCGAAUCCCUCG
rnacentral:ncRNA from 1 species